rnacentral:rRNA from 1 species
UACGUAGGGUGCAAGCGUUAAUCGGAAUUACUGGGCGUAAAGCGUGCGCAGGCGGUUAUGUAAGACAGUUGUGAAAUCCCCGGGCUCAACCUGGGAACUGCAUCUGUGACUGCAUAGCUAGAGUACGGUAGAGGGGGGAUGGAAUUCCGCGUGUAGCAGUGAAAUGCGUAGAUAUGCGGAGGAACACCGAUGGCGAAGGCAAUCCCCCUGGACCUGUACUGACGCUCAUGCACGAAAGCGUGGGGGAGCAAACGAGG